UGUGAGGAGCUCAUUCACCUUCUGAGUUUUGUAGUGCAAACAUCUAAAAUUGAACAAAAUUCGUUGUGCUUCAAAAUUUGAAAUGUAAAAAUGGACGUCGAUUUGGAAACAAUUGCGGGACCUUCGAUCAGAUUUGGUUAUAUAUAAAAGUGUCGGUAGAAGGAGAAAAGUAUCAGAGUUGAAAGUUUUGGACAUGUAGUUUGUUUUUUCUUUUUGUUGUUUUAUUUGGUUACCAAGAACACGUGAUAAAACAUAAACACAAACACAAAGACACGGUUAAAGAGAUUUUUUGCUGGCCUUGCAAGUUUUAACAUUGCUGGAAAAAUUUCUUUAUUGAAAAUUCAAAUGGGAUUUACCUUUAACAACGCCAAGUUCGCCCAUUUGAAGAUGGGCCUUAUUGGCAUUGGCAUCAUUGAGCAUUUGCAAGAAUGCCCAUAAGUAAUGGCAACAUUGAUUAGUUGUGGAGCAAGGUCCGAGGACGACGGGUUCCUUGUGUUUGCUCCGCUGGUUCAAAUCAGAUUUGGAAAAGAAGACGUCAUUCAAGUUACUCUGCAACACACACACACAUAAAAAUAUGAAACCAAGUUGGAGCUUAGGCUAAAAUUGCUCUUCUGCAUGAUUAUUAUCUUUAUAUAUUUAAUGUUGACACAGAUUAGAGGCCAGGAGGCUGCCGAUAUAAAUAUAUUUAAUAGUUUUUGUACAACGCUGACCCAAAAGUAUUGGAUUAACUUUCAAAUUUCGUUUCAUACACAAGAAAUUGGAGCAUGGUCCGAGCCCCAACUUGUGUGUGCUUCAUUUCCAAUUAGAAUGCAAAAACACAGGACUUUAAACAAAUGCUUAAAUCGAAUUGUUGCGAUAGAUGACAUUCCGAUCAAUAUAUAUCUUCGUGUGUAUAUAUAUAUAUAUAUACAAUUCCAAUUGACAAAGCAGGAGAGCAAGGUCCGAGGAGAAAAUCCCUUGUGUUUGCUCUCGGUUAAUAUAUAUAUCCGUUACAUAUUUUAUAUAUAUAUUUAUAUAUAUAUAACAUAUCACGUUGUUCUUCAUUGGUUACAACAAUAGCAACAGACUCUCUGCAACUUGUACAUAAAUACAUAAUCGAACGAGAGAACGACAACAGACAGAAACAAUUAUAUAAAGAAUUAGGAAGCCAGGAAAUACGCACACAACACAGACAACAUACAACACCACACACACACUAGAAACAAACCCCCAAAAUCACCCACCCCUCCCCCAAGAAUCACAAGAUCAGACAUCCCCCAGCCCCUACCCCCCUUAAAAAUCGAACGCAAUGGGGAUACUUGUUGAUAUUGGGGACAAUACAAGCGAAAAAUAUUUCAAAUUGAAUAAAAUUUUUAAAAAUUUAUAAACAUUUUCUUAAUCGUUGGUUGGGGGCACAGACUCGGCAACUGAUGCGCACAGUUGACGCGAAUUAUAAAUAUUUAUAAUAAUUUAUCUCCUGACGUCGUCGCAAAUUUUCAGUUCACAUCGCAGCAGCUGCAGCACAAAGCUACUCACGCCUGUGGAUUCGACUGCCCCCAGUAGUUCGAGAGUAGUUCGUCUUCCAGCAUCAAAUUUAUAUAUUUGUUAUAAAUAAUUAAAAUAAAUGAAAAAACAUGAGCUUA